rnacentral:lncRNA from 12 species
GAGAGGGGGAGAGGCAGAGAAAAAGAGAAAGGAAAGGAAAGGAAGGAAAGGAAAGGAAAGGAAAGGAAAGGAAAGGAAAGGAAAGGAAAGGAAAGGAAAGGAAAGGAAAAGAAAGGAAAGGGAAAGAAAAGAAAGGAAAGGAAACGAGAGGAGAGGAUAAUUUCUUUAGGGUUUAGAAGAUUUUAGAUCCUUUAUUAGGACCUUUAUGGAUUGUGUCCUCAUAAAAUUCUUGUCAGCCUGUUAUUAGCCUGUUUUUACACUCAAGGAAACAGUCUCAGAGGGCUUAUAUAACUUGUCAAGGUCAACACAGAGAGUAAAAAAGAAUCAAUGCCAGACUGUAAACCUAGAGUCUCUCCCAGGGAGUCUAAGAAAGUUACUGUUACAGAGCAAGGCCGGAUUGGUCCUGGAGAAUAGAUUACUUGUUCACAGUGAUAUUCAAAUUCCUGAGUCUUGGCACUGCUGUAGUAGGCAUUUGCAGACACAAAGCUGAGACAUCCUGAUGCCAUAGUGGAUACUACAUGGGAUUAUAUGGUUCUCUCAGGAGGCCAAACUUCUUCUGAAGCCCCUGAGGGGAAGAUGUAAUAGUUAAGGCUAGAGUGGGUACUUGGGAGUCUUCCUCUGGAGCCUGAGGAUGUUGGGGGCUAACACUGUCUCAUGUGCUGCUGAAGUUAUGAGAAGGAACAGGGACACCAGAAUCCGAGCAAGCAAGAAAAAGAGCCUCUCAGGAUGGUGGAGGCACACAAGUAGGGACCGGUGUUAAACCAUAUGUGUCUGACAACCUGACAAUAACAACAGGAGUUACCAGACUCAAUCAUCAUAAAGAAUAAGUAAAUUUACCAAUAACUCAGAGGUAGGUAUAAUCUAUGCCAACGUAAUCCAUUUUAUGCCAUUUUUGUUUUUCUGAUGUUUUCUUGGUUCUUCUCUCCCCUCUGCAUGGUAGCUUCAUGCAGGUAUUGAGGUGUUGCCCUAGAAUUAAACAUCCUAUCUACCACUGAGAGAAUAUAAAGGUAGAUAAAGUAUUACUUCCAGGACUUCCAUCUAGAUGAUCAAGGAAUAACUUGUUCAGAAGCCAUGAGAAAACCUUUUCUUUCCCCCAUCUAAUUGAUCUAGUUGAUAUCCUGUGACUAGUCUGGAGCCAAGUAUAGCAAGGAAGAUGAGAUGGCCUUAAAUGAAUCAAGCCCUCCUUUGGGGCUAGAAGUGUGGACAGUUGCUGUCAGUACAAGGGCACCAUGUGUGAGAACAGUGGAUAUCUGAACAAAAUCAAGGUUCUAUUAGGAGAGCAGAAGAAAGAGAAGAAUGGAUGACCAGACGCUAGUUUAGGGUCUGUCUUUACUAACUGUAUGAGAUCGGGCAAGCCAGAUAGCCACUUUAAGCUUUAUUUUCCUUAUCUGAAUAAUAGAGGUUACUCACCUAUCAGAUAGCCAUUUUCUCAUUCAUUAGUAAAAAUAUUGCCUUUCUGUUCUGAUAGGAAAAUUGUCAGCUUAAGUCUAUAUUUUUGAGUCUACUCUAUCUCUAAGGCUUUUGGGAAAUCCCCUUAAAAGGUGAACUGACAAGUGAUGUGUGACUUUCUUGACUUUCUCUGUUUUAUCUUGCUCCCUACCUUGAAUCAGGUUGUAAUUAUUAGAGCCCAAGCAGCCAUUUUGGGUCAGGAAGGGAUUUGAGAAUGGAGACCAUGUGUUGGGGUGGUGGGACAGAAA